rnacentral:lncRNA from 1 species
AUGAAGAUUAAAUGUUAUUCAGAGGGAAAUUCUAGCCUGGAUGUCAGGGGAGAAGCUUCUAAUGGUAGCCAGCACUGUUCACAUCACAUUACAACAGCAUGCUUACGAGCUCAUCAAGAGAAGACUGUAGUAGAUCAUGUGCCUUGUAAAACUGAUGCUUCAGUGCAAACAUACAAAGGAUGUGCCUGGUCUGAAGAGUUGCUGAGAAUGUCACAGAGUCCUGCUAUGGCUUGUGGCCCAUUUACUGUCCAUGGAUUCAUGCACCCACUCAUCCCUCCAGCCACCUGUCCUGCAACAUUUUGAUGUACGUACCCAGAAACUGCUGGUAGGAUGGCAGCCAUCAGCUUCCAAAGCCAGACAUCUGCAAAGUGGUAAAAUAUCUGCAAAAGUGAUUUCCCAUCUGAACACGCUGUGACCUGGAUGCACAU